UACGAAGGGGGCUAGCGUUGUUCGGAAUCACUGGGCGUAAAGGGCGCGUAGGCGGCUUAUAAGUCGGGGUGAAAGCCUGUGGCUCAACCACAGAAUUGCCUUCGAUACUGUAGAGCUUGAGACCGGAAGAGGUAAGUGGAACUGCGAGUGUAGAGGUGAAAAUUCGUAGAUAUUCGCAAGAACACCAGUGGCGAAGGCGGCUUACUGGUCCG
rnacentral:rRNA from 1 species